AUAUCAAUAAGCGGAGGAAAAGAAACUAACAAGGAUUCCCCUAGUAACGGCGAGUGAAGCGGGAACAGCUCAAAUUUGAAAUCUCCAACUUUCAGUUGGCGAGUUGUAGUUUAGAGAAGCGUUUUCCGAAGCAGCUUGGGUAUAAGUCCCUUGGAAAAGGGCAUCAUAGAGGGUGAGAAUCCCGUUUAUGAUCCAAGUACUGUUUCUCUGUGAUACGCUUUCAAAGAGUCGGGUUGUUUGGGAAUGCAGCCCAAAUUGGGUGGUAAAUGUCAUCCAAAGCUAAAUAUUGGCGAGAGACCGAUAGCGCACAAGUA
rnacentral:rRNA from 1 species